GACGAACGCUGGCGGCGUGCUUAACACAUGCAAGUCGAGCGGUAAGGCCCUUUCGGGGGUACACGAGCGGCGAACGGGUGAGUAACACGUGGGUGACCUGCCCUCAGUUCUGGGAUAAGCCUGGGAAACCGGGUCUAAUACUGGAUAUGACUCCAUGACGCAUGUUGUGGGGUGGAAAGCCUUGUGCGGCUGAGGAUGGGCCCGCGGCCUAUCAGCUUGUUGGUGGGGUGAUGGCCUACCAAGGCGACGACGGGUAGCCGGCCUGAGAGGGCGACCGGCCACACUGGGACUGAGACACGGCCCAGACUCUACGGGAGGCAGCAGUGGGGAAUCUUGCGCAAUGGGCGAAAGCCUGACGCAGCGACGCCGCGUGAGGGAUGACGGCU
rnacentral:rRNA from 1 species